GGGGGCUUGGGAAAUGGUUGCUGUGGGGCCGGGCCUACCGGGGCACAGCCCAGUGACAGCUGUCCAGACCCUGCCCUAGAGAAAUGAUCAGGCAGACUCCUCCUUGAGGGUUUGUCACGUGCAGUAACAGGUGUGAGCAUUCUGCCAGGAUCCUGAUGGUCAUGUAUGAUACUGCGCACAAGU